UACGUAGGCAGCGAGCGUUGCUCGGAAUUACUGGGCGUAAAGAGUGUGUAGGCGGUGCUCUAAGUCUGUCGUGAAAUCUCCCGGCUUAACUGGGAGGGUGCGGCGGAAACUGGAGUGCUAGAGGGUGGGAGAGGAAAGCGGAAUUCCUGGUGUAGCGGUGAAAUGCGUAGAUAUCGAGAGGAACACCUGCGGCGAAGGCGGGUUGCUGGGCUGACACUGACGCUGAUGCGCGAAAGCCAGGGGAGCGAACGGG
rnacentral:rRNA from 1 species